GAUGAACGCUGGCGGCGUGCCUAAUACAUGCAAGUCGAGCGAACAGACGAGGAGCUUGCUCCUCUGACGUUAGCGGCGGACGGGAGAGUAACACGUGGAUAACCUACCUAUAAGACUGGGAUAACUUCGGGAAACCGGAGCUAAUACCGGAUAAUAUAUUGAACCGCAUGGUUCAAUAGUGAAAGACGGUUUUGCUGUCACUUAUAGAUGGAUCCGCGCCGCAUUAGCUAGUUGGUAAGGUAACGGCUUACCAAGGCAACGAUGCGUAGCCGACCUGAGAGGGGGAUCGGCCACACUGGAACUGAGACACGGUCCAGACUCCUACGGGAGGCAGCAGUAGGGAAUCUUCCGCAAUGGGCGAAAGCCUGACGGAGCAACGCCGCGUGAGUGAUGAAGGUCUUCGGAUCGUAAAACUCUGUUAUUAGGGAAGAACAAAUGUGUAAGUAACUAUGCACGUCUUGACGGUACCUAAUCAGAAAGCCACGGCUAACUACGUG
rnacentral:rRNA from 1 species